GAGCAAAUUUUGCAUAAGAGAACAAAGAAAAAAUUGUACUACCUCUGAGACGAGUGACAUUCAAAUUCAUUCGGAUUAAAAACCGAGCGGAAGGGUUGAAUCGGGAAUGAAUGAGUCAAAGUUGACGCAAUAAUUGAUUUACUAUUUUCGGAUGGAGUUGAAAAAAAAAUAUUUAGCCAGAGGAUGUUAAACUUUCGAUAAAUCCGUUAACUCCUCAAAAAGUAGGUCGUACUCAUUGGGGGAGCAUAUACGUUACAUAAAAUCUCUAAAAUUUCUCGCACUUGCAGACGUGCGAGUAUUUUUUUUUUUUUUCUCUUACUGUGUUGAUGCGAAGCGCGCGUCUGAGCGCACCUCGCGUCGUAGUAAAAUUUUCUUUUACUAAUUGUACUAUGAGGAGGAGUAGCGAUACAUGGUUAGCGUAUCCUCUCGCGUAUCCUUCGUAAUUUAACGCCAAGGUCAUACGUCGUCGAAAGCGGACGUACCGCAUCGAAUAAGGUUGCAGCAGCAGCAGCAGCAGCAGCAGCACCGACAGGUGAAAGCGAUGGGAAUUCAACUCCGAUCGAUUCGACGUAGUUCCUCGAUUUUUACCUCGGGUUGAGAACGCGGAAUAAAAACAUAUCAAGGAUACGAAGAAGGUGGGGAGUGAGAUGUUGCAUAAUGUAACGAUGAUAAUAUCCAGGACAUGCGUUACACUUGAAACCAGUCGGCCGAACUGAUCCACGUACAGGUAUUACGAGUACACCUAUAGCCGAAAGGUCGCGUCGCAUCUAAAAUUAUGGUAAAGAUGUGUCUGUAUAGUAUGUCGCUAUACGGUACAGUAACAUUACAUAUUGGUCCAGAUCAGAUUUGACUCGGCUCAAGUUUGUAUGCACAUAUUUUAGAAUGGAAUUAUAAUGACAAUGAAAUUUAGUAAGCGAUGUGUCAACGUCGACUGAAAUACCUAUUCAAAGUCAAGUUCAAUUCCACAACGGAACUGGUAGUGCUUCACAUCUAGUUAAUUAUAAUAUUAUAGGCUCUUCGAACUUCACGUUGCAUGUCGAUAAAAUCAAACUUGUAUAAUAACUUUGUUGUAAUGAAGUCAAUGGAAUUUUUUCACGAUAUCUAGGGCACGGUGCCGUGCAAAAAGGUUUAAUCGAACGCGGAAACUCCGUAUUUCUUUACUUAAUUUCCCAUAUUAUAUAAUAUGUUUGUGUAUAUCUGUGGAUUAUAUAUUAACAACCGGUUUCUCAUAAUUUUGCAACGCUAUCAACGCAAUCCUUGUAGGUAUAGUUAGCUAACUUAUAAUCAUUAUACUACAUACACGUACAGGUAUAGCGGUGACCCAGUGGCAAUGCUGCUGCUGUGAUCUAGCGUGUUUCUCUUGUGGCCAUUGCCGAGGCUGAAUCUCCGCGAAGUUCACAGACGGAAUUCUAGCCAGUUUCCGGGAUUUCGUAUCCAUAAUUAAAAAUCUAAACGUACUCGAAUCCGUCGACCGGCCGAAACACCGAAGACUAGCUCGGAUCGGACACGAGGGAUGCGAAGACGCGGGGAUUAUUUUGCACCGCGUCGAGUGUCGGGGGAACGAAAUUUCUCUCACCGGGCCAACGUUUCUUCUCUGCUGAUUUUCUAUCCCAUCCGGUCACUCGAAUUUCAGGUGCAAUACUGAGAAAUUCUACUUGCAAGAAAAAACUAGGAAAUAAUACGUAACGCUCCGCAUUUUCUGAACGGUCAUGCAGGCGACAACGUCCGAGAAAGUUUACUACAAUUUAACUCUUGAUAUACGAAGCAUGACAAUAGCUGGUAUAUGAAUGAUCACCUCCGCAUGGUCCAGAAACUCCAUGGAAUUCGAUUAUUUUACUCCGUACGCGUUACACGGUUCUAUUUGUGCCGUAAUCGUGCCGAGUCCAUGAGUUGUUUAUGGUCAGGGAAAGUGAUUUGGAAAGAGAACGGCUUUCUUGUUCGCUUCGUUGCGAUAUGUCAACGCGACCCGAGUCGUCGCUUACGUUUUUCAGCUACGCGAGUGACCAUAAAAUCCAACACCCCCGCACCUUAAUUAGGAUCAUCUCGGACAAUCGAUAAUCGUAUACGUGUGCAUCUCAAUAAUUCGUGCCAUCACAAUGCCUGGAUUAUCCGAACACGAGCACCACAGGUGUUCUCCAGGGGUUUCGAGGCCAUCGGACACAACUUCACAAUUGAAAUACUCGAUACGUGUCUGCGGCUCAUGUUGCGAGACAAUCUGUCGGAUUGACGAACAAAUGUGAUUCCCGAUGAAUUUACAUUCAAAGCAUAUAAAAAAACUCCAGAUCAAAUUUUCAUUCGUAUCCAACAAACUGAAAUUCAUUGCCAAAGUUUUUUAUUUAUUUAUCGAUUCAUUUCUUGUUUUUCUCUAAAAAAUUUGUACGAGAGAAAUUUGUAAUAAAAAUCCAUGGGAACGAAGGGUAUUCCGUUUCCGGGGACAAUUAACAAUUAUUUCUGAGCGUCAUAUUCGUCGUGUACGAUACGAGAGUUAGGAAACUAAUGGUUAUUUGGGUCAGAGUCAUGCAGUAUUUGGUACGAUGGAGGCCUUAGCAUACAGCGAAUGGCUAUCGUUCUGCUACAGGUUAACGUUUGCAGUCGCGGUUAUAAUUACUAUUAGGUAAUGAGCGUACCAGCGGGUGUGCGCUGCCGUAUAAAUUAGCCGCAAGCAAUCGCGACAAGGCGAACGGUUUCGGACCGAUGAAUUUUUCGUAACCAAAACACACACGCUCUAGGCCAAGCGAAGCUGCCAGCGAAAGUAAUUCUCUCCACUUCGACUAUACAUACAUAUGAAAUCACCGAAUACCUAAAUACGCCUUUUACCCAAGUCGAUUCAUAGGAAUUUCAUUGACGCCACGCAUCGUCAUCGUCACACCCAAUAAGGAAGUCAUAAGUAUUAUAAGGGUCCGAAAAAAGGCUGGUGUUCUUUUGCAUUGGUUUUCUUUUUUUCUAAUUGGAAGUAAUUCAUUAAUAUUUAAGAUACACCGGCCUUGAUGAGAUGUCUUGAAACUUUUACAUUGUUUUCUCAUUUUUUCUAUUCGUAGUUUUGUCAAAGAAUACAACGUCACGAAAUGAAAUUUUCGAGUUAUUUUUUCUCACGAUGGAAAAUAAUAAUUCUGGGCAAUCGGGAUCAUAUGGAUUCAUCGUUUUCCGUUAUGUCACCGUUUUACACAAUGUCAAAAGCAUACGAUUAAAUUUUUUUUCUUAAUUGCAAUUAUUCAUAGAACCGAUAGGAUUCCGGUGUUUCUCGAUGGCGUAAUAAUUCGACCAACGAAUUACUUUUUAAUUUGCCUCGAGGAGUAGCCGAAGAAAGUGGUCAUUCAAUAAAACAUCCGACAGGUUUUUAAAGCGCCUGCAUGACGUUGCAAAUAUACGUAUAAGUUACAUCGCACCGAUGUACAGGCUUCUCAUCGUAGUUCGGUUACAUUUACUUUUGAAACCUAUUAAAAUCUAUAACGUUACAAAAUACGGUAAGAGCUGUUCGAAAUUUUUAUAUUAUGAUAUAAUACCAGGCAUACGCAGGUAUAUAUUACUCGUACGAAAAGUUAAGCUAAAGACAAUUAUUCAGAUCUGAAGUGAUCGGCGAUACAGUUGCAUAACCUGAUAAUAAUGAUAAUGAUAAUAAUACAGGUAAUAAUAACAAUAUCAACGAGAUACUUUCUAUUUUACCGCGAAGUCAUUCGAAAAUCACACACGAGAGAUCGGAGUAAUUCUACGUAUGGGUGUAUUUAGUAAACCCAUAGAUAUACCUUUACUUAUGGGGAUUCUUUAUAAUUUUGCGCUUUUUUUUAUUCUAAUCAAUAUCAGCGGAAUUUCACAUGGGCCUACGUCUGAUCGAUCUUCAUUUUAUAUUCUCAACGAACACGUGCAAUGUUGGGACUAAAAAAAAAACCAAAACGAAGUCGAGUAACUUAUCGGUAUCAUAAAUCGGUUCCCUGCAAAACCUGGUUGAGUUCCCGGUGUACCGAAGUGCAUGCUCGCCACUUGUUGCAUAAUUCAUACAUAUAUGUAUAUAGGAUAUCAUGUUAUACAUGUCUAUAAACCUGAAUGUUGAUAGACAAGACUGGAAUCAGGAACUGCCCAUAUGGUACAUGACUGGUGAUUUCAAACUCGUAUCCAGAAAUUUUCAAACGUCCCAAGUUGGUAGAGAUUACGAAUAUCUGCAGACCUCCGAGUUACAAAAAAGUGUGAGCAUUUAUCGAGGAGUCAGAUUUUUUCUUGAGACCAACGAGAGACCUCGGAAAUACAUCCGUCACACGAAGUUAUUGGAAGGCCUAGUUCAUGACGAAAUAACGGAUUUUAUUUUUAUUCGAAUUCCAAAUACUUUCGACAUACGAUUAGCCGGUGAUUAACCGAUAAUGUAAUCGUCGAAGAUCGGAACAAUUUUAUAUUAACGAUAAAAUUAAAAAUCCUGAUAUUUCAAUCACAUCGCGCGUAUAGCGGAGAAGAAUUCUCCGAUCAAUUUCUGGUUCGAUUCCACUAUAAAUGCAUCAGAUCGAUUUCUGCAUUACCUUAUUACACUCCGUGUCAUUAGUUGAUUACUUUCUUGCAUUUUUCUAUAAUUAUAUUACUGAUUCCAACGAUGAAUGUACGUACGUGAAGUUUAAACUUUUUUAAUAAAAAAAGAACAAAUGAUCACAUACAGAUACAGCGUAUUGCGCAUUUUGGUUUCGUGACUCAGUUGUUACGUGAGAAAAUUGUGUCAUUAUGUUACGUUUAAUGUUUUACAUGUUACAUACGUUCUGUGCCUAUACAGUUGUGUGUAAAAUUAGACGAAAAAAAAUAGAUAUGCCUAUACAAUACAGGCAAUGUAAACGUAAGGAAUUUAGAAAAGAGAUACCUGAAUGAUAUAAUACAUAAACGAGCUGUAUAGAAGUGACUGUGUAAAAAACACCCUCCGGCAAAUUUUCUGUAUAGGUACCAUCGGAUGAAGAAUCCUCCAUUGAACGGACAGACGCGUUCAAGAAUUUCAUCGCUAUUUUAUUAUUUUUUGAUACGGCGUAGCGAUUUGUUCACUUUAAUCCGUUCAAAUUGGUGUCGAAAAUAAAAACCUAUUCAAAUUUCAUCUAAGUGUAAAUCAGAGAAUGCUGACGGGGCCGUUUGAAAAAAAUUUCAAAAUUACAUGAAUAAAGACGUAAAAAUUAUAAUGACAAGAACGUCCGUUUAAAUUUCAAAGGGUCAUGUACCGGCGCACGAUGAAUUUAAAAAAGAAUAAAAUCUGAUCCAAGGACGUCGGAGAAAAUUUUGGAAUAUGGUCAGGUGCUACACGUGUUGCACGUUCAGAUUCAACCCAGAUAAUAAUUAUGCGAGAUGAUGUUAAAACCGCAGACUUUGAAAGACAAACUCUCUUCUACGUCCUUGAAAACGGAAGCCCUACAUUCGGAUACCUAUCCGAUGUUGAAAAUUCGGUACAAAUAACUCAGCAGCUUGAAGCUAUUCCGAAGAUUUAGCGUCGCGACGGUAAACGGAAAUAGAAAGUUUUUCGUCAUCAACCUAAAGCAAAUCGUAAAUGAAUAACCAAAUGACAUAGAAAUCGAUAUCAUUCUGUUUCAAUAAAUUCCAUGAAAAAAAAAAGAAAAC